UUACGGGAGGCGACAGUGAGGAAUAUUGGGCAAUGGGCGCAAGCCUGACCCAGCCAUGCCGCGCGAAGGAUGAAGGCCCUAUGGGUUGUAAACUUCUUUUGUACGGGACGAAACUCUCGGUCGUGACCGGGAUUGACGGUACUGUAUGAAUAAGCAUCGGCUAACUCCGUGCCAGCAGCCGCGGUA
rnacentral:rRNA from 1 species